AUUGAACGCUGGCGGCAUGCCUUACACAUGCAAGUCGAACGGCAGCACGGGGGCAACCCUGGUGGCGAGUGGCGAACGGGUGAGUAAUGCAUCGGAACGUGCCCAGUAGUGGGGGAUAACCAGUCGAAAGAUUGGCUAAUACCGCAUACGACCUACGGGUGAAAGCGGGGGACCGUAAGGCCUCGCGCUAUUGGAGCGGCCGAUGUCUGAUUAGCUAGUUGGCGGGGUAA
rnacentral:rRNA from 1 species